rnacentral:rRNA from 1 species
AGCGACAGAAGAAGCACCGGCUAACUCCGUGCCAGCAGCCGCGGUAAUACGGAGGGGUGCGAGCGUUAAUCGGAAUUACUGGGCGUAAAGCGCAUGCAGGUGGUUUGUUAAGUCAGAUGUGAAAGCCCGGGGCUCAACCUCGGAAUAGCAUUUGAAACUGGCAGACUAGAGUACUGUAGGAGGGGGGUAGAAUUUCAGGUGUAGCGGUGAAAUGCGUAGAGAUCUGAAGGAAUACCGGUGGCGAAGGCGGCCCCCUGGACAGAUACUGACACUCAGAUGACGAAAGCGUGGGGAGCAAACAGGAUUAGAUACCCUGGUAG